GAAGAACGCUGGCGGCGUGCCUAAUACAUGCAAGUCGAACGCAGUGGGGACGGGUGAGUAACACGUGGGUAACCUCCCAUCAGAGGGGAUAACACUUGGAAACAGGUGCUAAACCGAUACUGAUGGAUGGACCCGCGGUGCAUUAGCUAGUUGGUGAGGUAACGGCUCACCAAGGCCACGAUGCAUAGCCGACCUGAGAGGUGGAUCGGCCCAACUGGCACUGUGACACGGCCCAUACGCCUACGGGAGGCAGCAGUAGGGAAUCUUCGGAAAUGGACGAAAGUCUGACCGAGCAACGCCGCUUGAGUGAAGAAGGUUUUCGGAUCGUAAAGCUCUUUUGUUAUAGAAGCGGUAUCUAACCAGAAAGCCACGGCGAACUACGUGCCAGCAGCCGCGGUAAUUC
rnacentral:rRNA from 1 species